rnacentral:rRNA from 1 species
GACGUAGGGCGCGAGCGUUGUCCGGAUUUAUUGGGCGUAAAGAGCUCGUAGGCGGCUUGUUGCGUCGGCUGUGAAAACCCGCGGCUUAACCGCGGGCCUGCAGCCGAUACGGGCAGGCUAGAGUUCGGUAGGGGAGACUGGAAUUCCUGGUGUAGCGGUGAAAAUGCGCAGAUAUCAGGAGGAACACCGAUGGCGAAGGCAGGUCUCUGGGCCACUACUGACGCUGAGAAGCGAAAGCAUGGGGGAGCGAACAGG